UACGUAGGGGGCAAGCGUUGUCCGGAUUCAUUGGGCGUAAAGAGCGUGUAGGCGGCCAGGUAGGUCGGUUGUGAAAACUGGAGGCUCAACCUUCAGACGUCGACCGAAACCAUCUGGCUAGAGUCCGGGAGAGGAGAGUGGAAUUCCUGGUGUAGCGGUGAAAUGCGCAGAUAUCAGGAAGAACACCCGUGGCGAAAGCGGCUCUCUGGAACGGUACUGACGCUGAGAUGCGAAAGCGUGGGGAGCGAACAGG
rnacentral:rRNA from 1 species